CUCAAGAACCAAUCCUUACUAUAAACCCUAAACAAAUUAGGUUAGAGAACCCGAAAACGUCAAACCUGGCGAAAUAAAAGAGCAGAGACAUCUCCCUCUUCACCCCCACCAGGAUCCACCCACUACCAGCUGCCACAGAUGUCAGCCACCCAGAAUCACCUAAGAAGGAAACUCCACCAAACAUAGAACAUGCAGCAACCAAGCAAAGAUCCCAUACUAUAUCAACAGGAGGGCACAAGCAAUUUAGGAAACCAAAUACAAAGCCAAAGUAGAUGGACAUGGAUCAUGGGACGCUGGUAAGCUAAGAAAGGCUUGGCAGAUUCACAACUAGUAACCACUAAGCGGCACCAGCUCGACCCUUGAGCCGCCAACCAAAGUGGGAAGAACCCCCUAUAAACCAUUCA
rnacentral:misc_RNA from 1 species